rnacentral:rRNA from 1 species
AUUGAACGCUGGCGGCAUGCUUUACACAUGCAAGUCGAACGGCAGCGCGGGCUUCGGCCUGGCGGCGAGUGGCGAACGGGUGAGUAAUGCAUCGGAACGUGCCCAGUAGUGGGGGAUAGCCCGGCGAAAGCCGGAUUAAUACCGCAUACGACCUGAGGGUGAAAGCGGGGGACCGAAAGGCCUCGCGCUAUUGGAGCGGCCGAUGUCGGAUUAGCUAGUUGGUGGGGUAAAGGCUUACCAAGGCGACGAUCCGUAGCUGGUCUGAGAGGACGACCAGCCACACUGGGACUGAGACACGGCCCAGACUCCUACGGGAGGCAGCAGUGGGGAAUUUUGGACAAUGGGGGCAACCCUGAUCCAUCCAUGCCGCGUGCGGGAAGAAGGCCUUCGGGUUGUAAACCGCUUUUGUUCGGGAAGAAAUCCUCUGGGCUAAUACCCCGGGGGGAUGACGGUACCGGAAGAAUAAGCACCGGCUAACUACGUG